AACGCUGGCGGCGUGCCUAACACAUGCAAGUCGAGCGAGGAGAUCCUUCGGGAUGAUCCUAGCGGCGGACGGGUGAGUAACACGUGGGCAACCUGCCUCAUAGAGAGGAAUAGCCUUCCGAAAGGGAGAUUAAUACCUCAUAACAUUGCAGUUUCGCAUGGAACAGCAAUUAAAGGAGUAAUCCGCUAUGAGAUGGGCCCGCGGCGCAUUAGCUAGUUGGUGAGGUAAUGGCUCACCAAGGCGACGAUGCGUAGCCGACCUGAGAGGGUGAUCGGCCACAUUGGGGACUGAGACACGGCCCAGACUCCUACGGGAGGCAGCAGUGGGGAAUAUUGCACAAUGGGGGAAACCCUGAUGCAAGCAACGCCGCGUGAGUGAUGACGGCCUUCGGGUUGUAAAGCUCUGUCUUCAGGGACGAUAAUGACGGUACCUGAGGAGGAAGCCACGGCUAACUACGUGCCAGCCGCUGC
rnacentral:rRNA from 1 species